rnacentral:misc_RNA from 1 species
AACGCACAUUGCGCCCUUUGGUAUUCCAAAGGGCAUGCCUGUUCGAGCGUCAUUUGUACCCUCAAGCUUUGCUUGGUGUUGGGCGUUUUUGUCUAGCGGGGGGCUCUUGUCCCCCCAAGACUCGCCUUAAAACGAUUGGCAGCCGGCCUCCUGGUUACGCAGCGCAGCACAUUUUUGCGCUUGCCACCAGCAACAGAGGACGGCACUCCAUCAAGACUCCUUCUCACGUUUGACCUCGGAUCAGGUAGGGAUACCCGCUGAACUUAA